rnacentral:piRNA from 1 species
UAAGUGUCUUUUAGGUACCCUGUCAGGUGU